rnacentral:rRNA from 1 species
CUACGGAGGGAGCAAGCGUUAUUCGGAAUCACUGGGCGUAAAGGACGCGUAGGCGGGUUUGUAAGUCAGGUGUGAAAUCCUACAGCUCAACUGUAGAACUGCACUUGAAACUACAGACCUAGAGUAUGGAAGGGGCAGAUGGAAUUAGUGGUGUAGGGGUAAAAUCCGUAGAUAUCACUAGGAAUACCGAAAGCGAGGGCGAUCUGCUGGGACAUUACUGACGCUGAGGCGUGAAAGCGUGGGGAGCAAACAGGAUUAGAAACCCGAGUAGUCC